rnacentral:rRNA from 1 species
GACGACGCUGGCGGCAGGCCUAACACAUGCAAGUCGAACGAGUGGCGGACGGGUGAGUAAUGUCUGGGAAACUGCCUGAUGGAGGGGGAUAACUACUGGAAACGGUAGCUAAUACCGCAUACCAUCAGAUGUGCCCAGAUGGGAUUAGCUUGUUGGUGGGGUAACGGCUCACCAAGGCGACGAUCCCUAGCUGGUCUGAGAGGACGAUCCGCAACCCGGGGACUGAGACACGGCCCAGACUCCGACGGGAGGCAGCAGUGGGGAAUUUUGGACAAUGGGGGCAACCCUGAUCCAGCCAUGCCGCGUGUAUGAAGAAGGCCUUCGGGUUGUAAAGUACUUUUGUUAGGGAAGCGGUACCUAAAGAAUAAGCACCGGCUAACUACGUGCCAGCCGCCGCGGUAAUAC